UACGAAGGGGGCUAGCGUUGCUCGGAAUCACUGGGCGUAAAGCGCACGUAGGCGGCUUUUUAAGUCAGGGGUGAAAUCCUGGAGCUCAACUCCAGAACUGCCUUUGAUACUGAGAGCUUGAGUCCGGGAGAGGUGAGUGGAACUGCGAGUGUAGAGGUGAAAUUCUAGAUAUUCGCAAGAACACCAGUGGCGAAGGCGCUCACUGGCCCGGUCUGACGCUGAGGUGCGAA
rnacentral:rRNA from 1 species